rnacentral:sRNA from 1 species
UCUGGUCCGGGAAGUCCAUACUCUGGAAGGUGUUCCAGGGCUGCGUGACUCCGGGAGUGUGCUUUCUCUUUCAGGUGUGGGGAAGUCAUGUCUUCUCCUGCAGUUUACAGAUAAGCGGUUCCAGCCUGUACACGACCUCACAAUAGGUGUGGAGUUUGGAGCUCGUAUGGUCAACAUUGAUGGAAAACAAAUCAAACUGCAAAUCUGGGAUACGGCUGGGCAAGAAUCCUUCCGUUCUAUCACCCGUUCCUACUACAGGGGAGCAGCUGGAGCACUGCUGGUGUACGACAUUACAAGGCGUGAAACCUUCAACCACCUGACCUCAUGGUUAGAGGAUGCCCGGCAGCACUCUAGUUCCAACAUGGUUAUCAUGCUCAUUGGGAAUAAGAGUGACCUAGAGUCCCGCAGGGAUGUGAAGAGAGAAGAAGGAGAGGCCUUUGCUAGGGAGCAUGGACUUAUAUUCAUGGAAACUUCAGCCAAAACAGCCUGCAAUGUUGAAGAGGCCUUCAUUAACACAGCCAAAGAAAUAUAUAGGAAGAUCCAGCAGGGUUUAUUUGAUGUCCACAAUGAGGCAAAUGGCAUCAAGAUUGGGCCCCAACAGUCAAUUUCCACAUCAGUGGGACCCAGUGC